AUAAGGAAGCAAGCUGAGCAAGCCACAAGGAGCAAACCGCCCCUACAGACACCUCUCUGCUUUCUGUGUCAGUGGUUUGAUGACAGCAGGAACCUGACGAACAAAAUCGAUGGUGCCUUUCCUGCGACUGGCUUGUUUCACUUAGCACAAUGCCUUCAAGAUCCUGGCAUGCUGUAUAGCAUACACCAGAAUGCUUUUCCUUUGAAAGGAUGAGGGAGAAGGAAGUACUUGCUUCCAUUGUCACAGUGUUGGGGACUCCUGAGAUCCCUGGGGAGUUGAAAGGAUCUCCAGAAGAGAUGGGUAGGAAAGCCCACUAGGACUCAUUCAGCAAAGGCUACCAGGUGGAGGAGCCAUGCUCUGGAUCGAGGCUUCCACAGAAAUGACUGAUCCUCAAACCCAAGCAAACAGUGCAGAUGAUGAGCCUGGAGUGUCCGUGCGAGCGGAGUAUGGCAUCCUGGAACAGACAACACCAGAGGACUCGGAAGGACACAGUGGACGCCAGCAUGUGUCAGUGCAGAACAUUCUGGAACAGUACAGUCAAGGUCAUCAAUGAGAAGCCAUCGCCUCCAGGGAGGGCCUGAGGACGUGUCGAUUGCCUGCCACGUGUUCCCUGAGUGGGA
rnacentral:lncRNA from 1 species